rnacentral:rRNA from 1 species
CCGGCACGGGUGAGUAACACGUAUCCAACCUGCCGUCUACUCUUGGACAGCCUCUGAAGGAAGAUUAAUACAAGAUGGCAUCAUGAGUUCACAUGUUCACAUGAUUAAAGGUAUUCCGGUAGACGAUGGGGAUGCGUUCCAUUAGAUAGUAGGCGGGGUAACGGCCCACCUAGUCUUCGAUGGAUAGGGGUUCUGAGAGGAAGGUCCCCCACAUUGGAACUGAGACACGGUCCAA